rnacentral:rRNA from 1 species
GCGAACGCUGGCGGCAGGCUUAACACAUGCAAGUCGAGCGGGCGUAGCAAUACGUCAGCGGCAGACGGUGAGUAACGCGUGGGAACGUACCUUUUGGUUCGGAACAACACAGGGAAACUUGUGCUAAUACCGGAUAAGCCCUUACGGGGAAAGAUUUAUCGCCGAAAGAUCGGCCCGCGUCUGAUUAGCUAGUUGGUGAGGUAACGGCUCACCAAGGCGACGAUCAGUAGCUGGUCUGAGAGGAUGAUCAGCCACAUUGGGACUGAGACACGGCCCAAACUCCUACGGGAGGCAGCAGUGGGGAAUAUUGGACAAUGGGCGAAAGCCUGAUCCAGCCAUGCCGCGUGAGUGAUGAAGGCCCUAGGGUUGUAAAGCUCUUUUGUGCGGGAAGAUAAUGACGGUACCGCAAGAAUAAGCCCCGGCUAACUUCGU